UAUGGCCAUAUCAGGUUGAAACACUGGUUCUUGUAUGAGCACUGAAGUUUACCACUGUUGAGCCUGGUCAUUACUUUGAUGGGUGACCACUUGAGAAUACCAAGCGCUGUAAG